GUCUAAAUGAUGAUUAAGAUACCGCCCCAGACUGAUUAGUUUGAUGAAUCGGUAUUAUUCUGAUUAGAC